CCUUCGGGCUUAGUGGCGCACGGGUACGUAACGCGUGGGAAUCUGCCCUUCGGUUCGGAACAACAGUUAGAAAUGACUGCUAAUACCGGAUAAUGACGUAAGUCCAAAGAUUUAUCGCCGAAGGAUGAGCCCGCGUAGGAUUAGCUAGUUGGUAAGGUAAAAGCUUACCAAGGCGACGAUCCUUAGCUGGUCUGAGAGGAUGAUCAGCCACACUGGGACUGAGACACGGCCCAG
rnacentral:rRNA from 1 species